rnacentral:misc_RNA from 1 species
CAAAAAUUCCCUCUAUUCUCUCAAUCUUCAGUUGGUCACUCCGUUGAUUCUUCAUCCGUCAAGGAAUCAAAGACGAAGAAUGGGGGAUUGACGGAUCUGUGCUGCUCAAUCCCUCUGCUGAGACAGUCUAUCAUAUUCCCCAAGUUGAAAAAUCAAAGUGCUCGGCAUUCCAAUUGGGAGAAGUAGAUGGGGAAUUUAUUCGUCAAGAAGCCCAAAGUCACCGAUGUUGAUAAAGCGAUUCUGUCUCUCAAGACCCAAAGACGCAAACUCGGUCAAUAUCAACAACAGCUUGAUGCCGUCAUUGAAGCAGAAAAGAAUGCUGCAAGAGAGUUAGUUCGACAAAAGAAAAAGGAUCGUGCCUUGUUAGCCUUGAAGAAGAAAAAGGCACAAGAAGAAUUAUUAAAG